rnacentral:misc_RNA from 1 species
AAGUCGUAACAAGGUUUCCGUAGGUGAACCUGCGGAAGGAUCAUUAACACAUGAUUACCUCAUAAACCAAACGUGAACUUAUACCUGUCCCUUGCUUGAAGUGGAGUGUCUGUUGAAGUUUAUUGUGGGAGCUUCGGCUCGGCUUCUCAGACUACGAAGCGUUCUUCGGAACAGCUUCAGCUUGCUUCGAGUAAGGCUUUUUUACUACCUAUUUCAGUCACCACACUGGCUGAAAUAGGUAGUUGAAACUUAAUAACCCCUUUAACUCUUUUUUGUACUGAUGGAGUGAAUCAUGGCUUAACGGCUGUGAAACACAAUCCUAUAACGCGAUACAACUCUUAGCAACGGAUAUCUCGGUUCUC